CUGUCAAUAAAUCAUUUAAGUAAUUAUUACGUUUAGUGAGAACUAUAUGUACGUUUUUCCAUUCUGAGUAGAUUGAUGAAUUUGAUUGAAAUUUGCAUUUAUAACUAACAAAUAAAACCGCAUAGAUGGAUUCCAAUCGUCCUGAUGGUGACAAAUCGACAAGUAAAAAAGCCCACAAGAGAAAACAUAAAAAUGUUUCACCUGAACCAAGUACAUCUAAACGCAGUAAGCAGGACAUUCACAGCGGGAACAAGAAAACAGACAGCAAGAUUAUUUAUAAACGGGAGACAGACGUUCCAGUAGUGCCCAAAUCAAAAAAAAAGAAAACCAAGACAGACGAAACACCCAUCGUUGUGUACUUUGACCUUGAAACAACAGGUUUAGACGUCCAAAAAGAAUCGUUGACCCAGAUUGCAGCUCAAUUCGAAGACCAAACUUUUAGUGUCUAUAUAAAGCCUAAAGGUCCAAUUGGACGUUGGGCUUUGGAAAACACACAUCUAAGUUAUGACAGUAAAUCAUUUACCUUAUACUAUAAAGGUAAAAAGGUUACCAGCAAGGAACCGCAGGACGCAUUGGAAGAUUUCGUGGACUUUUUGAAGUCGUUCAGCAGACCAAUAGUUUUAGCUGCACACUUCUGUCACCAAUUUGAUGCGCAGAUUUUGUACAAGCAGUUAGUUGAUCACCAACUAUGGGAAGACUUCUCGUCUAUUGUAAAUGGUUUUGCGGACACUUGUCUGAUGUUUCAAAAACUCAAACCAUCCCUAAAAUAUCACAAGCUAGACGCACUCGCUUCAAAAUUUUUACCAGCCGAAAGAUAUUCACUCCACAAUGCCGUUGAUGAUACUAGAAUUUUGAAGUCACUUGUAGAAAAACAAGGAAAGGAAAAUAUGUUGCGGAAUGAUUUUUUUCAAACGUGUCUUCAAACUAAACAAUACUUUCCAAAAGGAAGAGCCAUAUUAAGGUGCAGGUGAUUUUUUUUUACAGUUUAUAUAUUAUUCAAUACGCAUAAGUGUAAAUAUGAUUAAAAUAAUAUUAUAUAUAUUAUUGAACACAAACCGUCAAACAGAUUUUCUUUACUUUAUACAAUGCAUAUUUAAUUGAUAAACAUAAGAGAUGAAAAUGAUAUGGAAUCAAUGAGUCAAAUGGGUCAAAAUAUUAUUAGUUCGAUUCAGAGGAGUGACAACAUUCUGCACACGACAGCUCUGGGUUGUAUUUGUUAAAGAUAAAAA